ACGGAAGGCAGCAGUGAGGAAUAUUGGUCAAUGGACGCAAGUCUGAACCAGCCAUGCCGCGUGCAGGAAUAAGGCCCUAUGGGUCGUAAACUGCUUUUGUGGUGGAGCAAUAAGUCGUACGUGUACGGCGAUGAGAGUACAUCACGAAUAAGCAUCGGCUAACUCCGUGCCAGCAGCCGCGGUAAUACGGAGGAUGCAAGCGUUAUCCGGAUUUAUUGGGUUUAAAGGGUGCGUAGGCUGUGGUCCAAGUCAGGGGUGAAAGCCCGGAGCUCAACUCCGGAACUGCCUUUGAUACUGGAUUGCUGGAAUACGGAUGCCGUGGGAGGAAUGAGUAGUGUAGCGGUGAAAUGCAUAGAUAUUACUCAGAACACCGAUUGCGAAGGCAUCUAACGAAUCCGUCAUUGACGCUGAGGCACGAAAGCGUGGGGAUCAAACAGGAUUAGAUACCCUGGUA
rnacentral:rRNA from 1 species